GCAGACACAUUCCAGCCAAUCAGCAGCAGACCCUCCCUCCCAGACCCUCCCACCUCCUGGACAGCAUCCAUUUUACAUUCAUUGUGAAGCUGCAUUCUUAGUGAGCUGUCCAGGAGGUGGAAGGGUCUGGGAGGGAGGGUCUACUGCUGAUUGGCUGGAAUGUGUCUG